rnacentral:rRNA from 1 species
UGUCGUCAGCUCGUGUUGUGAAAUGUUGGGUUAAGUCCCGCAACGAGCGCAACCCUUAUCCUUUGUUGCCAGCGGUCCGGCCGGGAACUCAAAGGAGACUGCCAGUGAUAAACUGGAGGAAGGUGGGGAUGACGUCAAGUCAUCAUGGCCCUUACGACCAGGGCUACACACGUGCUACAAUGGCGCAUACAAAGAGAAGCGACCUCGCGAGAGCAAGCGGACCUCAUAAAGUGCGUCGUAGUCCGGAUUGGAGUCUGCAACUCGACUCCAUGAAGUCGGAAUCGCUAGUAAUCGUGGAUCAGAAUGCCACGGUGAAUACGUUCCCGGGCCUUGUACACACCGCCCGUCACACCAUGGGAGUGGGUUGCAAAAGAAGUAGGUAGCUUAACCUUCGGGAGGGCGCUUACCACUUUGUGAUUCAUGACUGGGGUGAAGUCGUAACAAGGUAA